rnacentral:rRNA from 1 species
CACUCUUAGAGGAGGGACAUUACCGAGUUUACAACUCCCAAACCCAAUGUGAACGUUACCAAACUGUUGCCUCGGCGGGAUCUCUGCCCCGGGUGCGUCGCAGCCCCGGACCAAGGCGCCCGCCGGAGGACCAACCAAAACUCUUAUUGUAUACCCCCUCGCGGGUUUUUUUAUAAUCUGAGCCUUCUCGGCGCCUCUCGUAGGCGUUUCGAAAAUGAAUCAAAACUUUCAACAACGGAUCUCUUGGUUCUGGCAUCGAUGAAGAACGCAGCGAAAUGCGAUAAGUAAUGUGAAUUGCAGAAUUCAGUGAAUCAUCGAAUCUUUGAACGCACAUUGCGCCCGCCAGUAUUCUGGCGGGCAUGCCUGUCCGAGCGUCAUUUCAACCCUCGAACCCCUCCGGGGGGUCGGCGUUGGGGAUCGGCCCUGCCUUGGCGGUGGCCGUCUCCGAAAUACAGUGGCGGUCUCGCCGCAGCCUCUCCUGCGCAGUAGUUUGCACACUCGCAUCGGGAGCGCGGCGCGUCCACAGCCGUUAAACACCCAACUUCUGAAAUGUUGACCUCGGAUCAGGUAGGAAUACCCGCUGAAACUUAAGCAUAUC